GCCAAAGAAAUUGGAGUCAACCACCAGCAGUGUGUGCGUGUGCGUGUGUGUGAGAGAGAGAGAGAGAGAGAGAGAGAGAGAGAGUGUGAGUGUGUGUGUGUGUGUGUGUGUUCCACAGGAUAAUACAUACCCUAAAAACUCUUGCUUUUUCCAGUAAAAAUGCACCCAGUCAGAGUAUCGAUCCCGUCGUUCCGUUCAGAAAGCAACUCGAUCGAGAAAGGAUACACGGUCUUCAGAAUUGACGUGCUGAUGAAUGGUAGACAACACGCUGUUGAGAAACGCUACAGUGAAUUCCACGCUUUGCAUAAAAUGCUAAAGAAAAGCAUAAAGCCUCCCGAGAUCCCUUCCAAACAUGUUAGAAACUGGGUUCCCAAAGUGGUGGAGCAGAGGAGGCAAGGCCUGGAGCUCUACCUGCAGGUAGUCUGACACACCUUCACUCCACCUGCUGGAACUGUUUGCUCAAAACUAUAAUUAUGGAAAAUGGAGUUCUUCCAAAGAUAUUCUUGGAUUUCCUCAAUAUCCGCCAUUUUCCUUCAGUGCCAAAAACAGAAAGCUGUGGGUCGUUUGAUACAGAAUCAGAAGAAUCAAGUAAACUUUCACAUCAGCCCAUCUUGCUGUUUCUGAGAGACCCCUACCUGCUGCCAACCGCUCACGAUGCAUUUUCAAAUGUUGUGAUUGAAGGUGUGGUUCAUGGAGUUUUCUACCCGGAUCUUCAACCAAGGUAGAGCUGCAGAGCCGAAUCUGAGGGCACGUCACCACAAACAGACGCUUCAUGUUUACGCACCAUUUUAGGUGUGCAUCAUGGAAAAUGUGACAUGUUAAGAUACACUGAGCCUCAUUUAUGUUUUACCAAGCAUAAAACAAAAAUCCAUACAUUUUGGUUCUUUUCUUUCGAUAAAUAACUGGCACCAGCACCAUCAGUUGUUCUCAAAAUAAGCAAUAUUUCCCCAUAUUUCAAAAGAUUUUAAUCCUAAAAAAAUUAUUUAAGCAAAAACUUGUCAGAUCAAAUGUAACAAUAUAUGAAACAGUGACACAUUAACAGUCGCAGGUUAACUUGAUUGAGGUAUUAGAAUCAAAGUAAGUAAAGACUGAAAGAUUUUUUUCUGAGUGUAUCUAAUAAAAAAGAGAAAUCUUUCCUAAAGUAAUUAACAUACAGGAUCAGCUGGAAAUAGAGAGAAGAGGAAGUUCAAAGUAGGCAGAACUUUCAGAGCUUUUAGUGAGUAAAUACCAGAAGUUGAAACUGAGGGGAACCAGAAAGGAACUGCUGAUGCCAGCUGGACUGAAGGUUAGUUUGCCAGACACAGAGGGGGCCUGUAAAGACAAAGCACAGGGCUGGAGUGUGGAGCUGGAUGAUGGCCUGCAAACAGGGAUGUGCCCCUCCCUUUGUAGCAUCCGUACUGCAGUCUUUGAAUUUGUCCACACUGAGCCGUCUGAGGGGGAGCGUGGAAACAUUCAGAGUGUGUUUGUGCAUUGUGGUGGAGUUGGCAGCUAUGUGCCACAUGUACGGGGAGGAUUUAAGUUGAGAUGUUGAGCUCAUUUAUUGAGCAUAAGAUAUUUGUGAAGGAGUCCCAUAGUGAGCAGCUCAGUUUGGAGCUUGAGAUUUGGGGCACAACGCCUAUGUGGCACAACUUGUGAGCGAGGAAUGACACAUUAAGAUGGAAAUGGGGAAGAACCGACAAGACAAGAGCAAGUCUAAGAGGACUUCACUGAUUUAGCCUUGCACUCCUUCUGCUAGUUGAUGCAGCAGAACCAGAGAUAUUAUCUUUUCUUUAUUCCAUGUAUUCUUCUUCCUCACUUGGUUCGUACAUUACCCACAAUGCAAUUCGACCAUCAACAGAUUGGCCAUAGAUUCAGGUGUGUUAUGCUAGUAGCGACUAAUGUAGCCUCAAGCAGAGAUGAGGAGCGAGCUGCAGCGGUCUGGUAAGCUCACUUCUUCAUUAUGCCACAUUCCCAGAUGUUUUUCAUUUUCACUUGUAGUCUUUAGCCCCAACUGACACAGACUCAAGUGACUGGAGGCAAUGUAUCUGAUUUGGGGCAGCUCCCUCUGGAGCAACAAAUGGCUUAAUACAACUUUCUUUUUCCCAUACACAGUAGUACUCUCCAAGACCUGUAUACAGACUUUGGUGUGUACAAUAAGUGGAGUUCCCCUUUUUAAGAGAGGAAUAGGGCAAGCUCAAGGGUGCUUCUCCAUUUAUUAUUUAUGUCUCAUUCCUUCCUUCACUUGCACUUAUUAACAAAAGAUGCAAUGAUGAGAUAUGAGGACUGAUGGCUGACAGUAAAGCAGGAGGAGCUGGUUUGUUGUCCCACAGCACAUGCAAAAUGUAAGUACUAGUCUAAUAGGAGUAUACUGUACUUCUUCUGAUAACACUUGUUAAAGGCCAGUAUCUAACACUAAUACCAGUCCUGUUAAGUUUAAUGUUUAAUUUACACAUAAUAUAGAAGGCCAGUUUUCCACUUGUGGUGAUUAGAAGUCCUACCCAUCAUGAAAAGGGAUGCAAAAUGUGUUUUGUUUUACAGAGGAUUUUAAAAUGAGAGAGGGUGAUUUUAACAAGACUAACAACCAGUAAAACACUGUGCAAUAUGAAAUACAAAUACAGAUUGUCUUUAUAUUGUUCUUUGUGAAGUACAAACGUGUCCUGAUGUGUACACUUGAAAUUACUUGUGUUUGUGAAACAAUAUGUCGCAUGUCACUAUUUGGGCAGUAAGUGAUGACACUUAUUUAUUAUGUGACUGGACCUCCAGUAGUGACGACUACAUAUUUAUACUGAAUCCUGAGGAAUUAACCUGAACUAAACCGAUCAUGAUUUUAUGUUUUAACAGAGUAAAUCUUUUCUUGGAGAUCCAUCUCAUAGAUUUAUAUGUAUUUAUAUUUUGCAGCAUUGUACCGUUUGUGCUCUGACCAUUUGAAAAGUGUCAUUUAUGUGCCAUAUUGUCAACCUACAGUGAACACUGGAAUUCAACUGUAGCACUUUAAGAUGGGCGACAUGUUGAAUACUGACACCAAUAAAAUUAUUAUUGCCACUA